GACGAAGGGGGCUAGCGUUGUUCGGAAUGACUGGGCGUAAAGGGCGCGUAGGCGGAUGGCACAGUCAGAUGUGAAAUUCCCGGGCUUAACCUGGGGGCUGACAUUUGAUACGUGUUGUCUAGAGUGAGGAAGAGGGUUGUGGAAUUCCCAGUGUAGAGGUGAAAUUCGUAGAUAUUGGGAAAGAACACCGGUGGCGAAGGCGGCAACCUGGUCCUUGACUG
rnacentral:rRNA from 1 species